GGGUUUCUUUUCGUCAACAAAGGUAACUUCCUCUUCCUUUUGCAACAGCCAACAGGCAGGGAGGAGGAAGAAGAGGAACAAGAAUCAAGCGAUACUCCUGAAGCUCUGAGCUUCUCUUUUCUCGCUCAGUUUGAUUUCUACUGUUUGGAUUCAAGCUACCGGUGGAAAAUCUAAUAUUGAGCUUCGAUCAUGGCGAUGACGGUUGGAGGUACUAACUUCUUCAUCCCCUUCCCUGCGUCAUUGGCUUGAUUUUGAUUGUCCGAUUAGACUUUCCGAACUUCCUAUUGCAAUUAUUAUUGCCAUUUUCCUUUGCUGUGUUCAUUUUUCUACGUUAUGACUUCGUUGAGCUUCGAAUUUUGCUCGUCAAUUUUGUUAGGAUGAUACUCCGUGUGGUUAAAGAAGCUAGGGAUUGCUGAGGGUGUGGAGAUAAUCACUUGUUUGGGUCCUUAGAUCAUUGAGAAUGAAUACCUUAGAAAUUGUUCCAUCCAUAGUAGAUGUCCACAACUUUUGACUUGGGGAUGGUAGAUUCGGUUUGUUGAUCGGAGUUGACACAUCCUGUUGAUGCCCUAAAAGUUUAACGGAUUAACUGUGAAUGCCAUUCCUCUCAUAUUACAUCGUAUGUGCUAAAAGUCAUUUGUGCUUGCUUUCAUGCCAAACUUGUUUUGGGUUUUAACUGUCUUAGCUAAUUUCUUUCUGUUUUGAUACAUUGGUGCUGUGGUGUUGCGAAAUGAUUGCCGUCUUCUGCAGUGUAAGUUCAAAAACUUUUGGUAUAGAAUCAACUGGCUAUGCUUUGUGCUGGUAAUUGACUUCUAAAUUGAUUAGUUUUAAUGCAGGCUUGCAGGGCUUGCUUUUAUGUUCUCGUCUAGCAUUCUGCUACAGAUAAUGGUAUGUUUUCAGUCUCAUUUCUGUAAUAUGGGAUCUGCAUGUGAUUCAUAGAAUAUACAUUUUUGUAUUUUACAUGUAAUUUAGGAUCGGUUAACCGUAUGAACCAUAUCAUAAAGGCUUCAUAGGGAAGAUGAUGAGGUACAGGAACCUGCGUAUUACAUCCGUCCAUUAUCCGUUUUGUUAAGAGAAAAUAUAUCAUUCCUAGCUUUCGGUUACCUUGAAAUGUUUUGGGAUUUGGAUGUUUUAGAGGAGAAAGGGUCAUAAUUUCACAUCUGUGCGAUCUUGGAAUGGAAUGAACUCUCAAAGUUAUUUGAAACAAGUAGCUGCAUGAAAUGAUUUACUUGUUGUUCUGGUUCUCAUACCCUACUAUAUCUUAACUUGCGCUAUGUUUGGCAAUAGGAAUCAUGAUUCCUAGGAAUGUGGAAUUAGAAUAGUACAAAAUAAUUGAGUUGAGGUUGAAAGAAAUUGUGAAGAUAAUGUAAAAUCAAAGGAUAUAAGGGAUUCCUAGGAAAGUUAAUUUUCCCAUUGAGUAGAUAAGGAAACAUGAUUCCAAUUAGAAUCCUUAUAUCAUUUGAUCCAAGUUUCCAUCCACAAUAUUUUUCUAUUCCAACUCAACUUGUUUAGUCUCAACUUAACUUUCCUAGAAAUCAUGAUUCCUAUUGCCAAACAUAGCAUUGAU
rnacentral:lncRNA from 1 species